UGGGGAAUUUUGGACAAUGGGGGAAACCCUGAUCCAGCCAUCCCGCGUGUGCGAUGAAGGCCUUCGGGUUGUAAAGCACUUUUGGCAGGAAAGAAACGUCAUGGGUUAAUACCCCGUGAAACUGACGGUACCUGCAGAAUAAGCACCGGCUAACUACGUGCCAGCAGCCGCGGUAAUACGUAGGGUGCAAGCGUUAAUCGGAAUUACUGGGCGUAAAGCGUGCGCAGGCGGUUCGGAAAGAAAGAUGUGAAAUCCCAGAGCUCAACUUUGGAACUGCAUUUUUAACUACCGGGAUAGAGUGUGUCAGAGGGAGGUGGAAUUCCGCGUGUAGCAGUGAAAUGAGUAGAUAUGCGGAGGAACACCGAUGGCGAAGGCAGCCUCCUGGGAUAACACUGACGCUCAUGCACGGAAGCGUGGGGAGCAAACAGG
rnacentral:rRNA from 1 species